rnacentral:rRNA from 1 species
CCUUUGGUGGUACCGUCWKUUCCUUGAGCUAUUUACCCAAAGAGGUUUCUUCCCRCCUGACAGGGYUUUACAACCCGAAAGCCUUCUUCACCCACSCGGCGUUGCUGCGKCRGAGUUUCCUCCAUUGCGCAAUAUUCCUCACUGCUGCCUCCCGUASGAGUCUGGACCGUAUCUCAGUUCCMGUGUGGCUGAKCAUCCUCUCAKACCAGCUAACCAUCUCAGSCUUGGUGAACCGUUACUCCACCAACUAGCUAAUGGUCCGCGGGCCCWUCCUUAGACSCCAGCUUCUUCGAGAGGCCGACUUUGGSCGSAUAAGCCGAAGCUCAUGUGGUCUUAUCCGGUAUUAGCGGGCCUUUCGGCCAGUUAUCCCGGUUCCAAGGGCAGGUUACCCACGUGUUACUCACCCGUGCGCCACUUUACUCCACACCCCGAAGGAUGUGUUUCUCGUGCGACUUGCAUGUGUUAGGCACGCCKCCAGCGUUCGUUSUGAGCCAUGAUCAAACUCUAAUCGAAUUCCCGCGRCCGCCAUGRCGRCCGGGAGCAUGMGACGUCGGGCCCMAUUCGCCCUAUAGUGAGUCGUAUA